rnacentral:tRNA from 1 species
GGAGACGUGGCUGAGUGGUCGAAAGCGCCUCACUGCUAACGAGGUAGGGUGUAAAAGCUCUCCAGGGUUCGAAUCCCUGCGUCUCCGCCA